UUCGUAGGGGGCAAGCGUUGUCCGGAAUUAUUGGGCGUAAAGAGCUCGUAGGCGGUCUGUCACGUCGGCUGUGAAAUCCCGAGGCUCAACCUCGGGCCUGCAGUCGAUACGGGCAAACUAGAGUAUUGCAGGGGAGACUGGAAUUCCUGGUGUAGCGGUGAAAUGCGCAGAUAUCAGGAGGAACACCGGUGGCGAAGGCGGGUCUCUGGGCAGUAACUGACGCUGAGGAGCGAAAGCGUGGGGAGCGAACAGG
rnacentral:rRNA from 1 species